GACUGCAUGCCUAAUCCACGCCGCCAACGUUCGUUCUGAGCCACUGCCCAGACUCCUACGGGAGGCUGCAGUCGAGGAUCUUCCGCAAUGCGCGAAAGCGUGACGGAGCGACGCCGCGUGGGUGAUGAAGGCCUUCGGGUUGUAAAGCCCUGUCACCUGGGAAGAAUGACGGGAGGUGAACAAUCUCUCGUUUGACGCUACCAGGGGAGGAAGCACCGGCUAAAUACGUGCCAGCAGCCGCGGUAAUACGUAUGGUGCGAACGUUGUUCGGAAUUACUGGGCAUAAAGAGCACGUAGGCGGUUGAGCAAGUCCAUUGUGAAAUCCCCCGGCUUAACCGGGGAACCGCAGUGGAUACUACUUGAUUUGAGUGCAGGAGGGGAGAGCGGAAUUCCAGGUGGAGCGGUGAAAUGCGUAGAUAUCUGGAGGAACGCCGGUGGCGAAAGCGACUCUCUGGUCUGUUACUGACGCUGAGGUGCGAAAGCUAGGGGAGCAAACGGGAUUAGAUACCCCGGUAGUCCUAGCCCUGAACGAUGGGCACUAAGUAGAGGGGUUU
rnacentral:rRNA from 1 species